rnacentral:rRNA from 1 species
UGUGCCAGCAGCCGCGGUAAUACAGAGGGUGCGAGCGUUAAUCGGAAUUACUGGGCGUAAAGCGAGUGUAGGUGGCUCAUUAAGUCACAUGUGAAAUCCCCGGGCUUAACCUGGGAACUGCAUGUGAUACUGGUGGUGCUAGAAUAUGUGAGAGGGAAGUAGAAUUCCAGGUGUAGCGGUGAAAUGCGUAGAGAUCUGGAGGAAUACCGAUGGCGAAGGCAGCUUCCUGGCAUAAUAUUG